rnacentral:lncRNA from 1 species
UCUACACUUCAUAGCGGGGAAGUGUUUUGAUGGUCUGAAGCUUCUAAAUCUAAGAAAUUGAAAAGGCUAUUACCCAUUGAAGAAAAGAAAGAAAAAUUUAAGAAAGCAAUGACCAUCGGAGAUGUUUCAUUGGUCCAGGAGCUCCUAGAUUCUGGCAUUAGUGUAGAUUCCAACUUUCAGUAUGGAUGGACUCCCCUUAUGUAUGCUGCUAGUGUUGCCAAUGCAGAGCUGGUUCGGGUCCU